rnacentral:rRNA from 1 species
GAUGAACGCUGGCGGCGUGCCUAAUACAUGCGAGUCGAGCGAACAGACGAGAGUGCUUGCACUCUCUGACGUUAGCGGCGGACGGGUGAGUAACACGUGGGUAACCUACCUAUAAGACUGGGAUAACUUCGGGAAACCGGAGCUAAUACCGGAUAAUAUUUAGCUUCGCAUGAAGCAAUAGUGAAAGACGGUUCUGCUGUCACUUAUAGAUGGACCCGCGGUGUAUUAGCUAGUUGGUGAGGUAACGGCUCACCAAGGCAACGAUACAUAGCCGACCUGAGAGGGUGAUCGGCCACACUGGGACUGAGACACGGCCCAGACUCCUACGGGAGGCAGCAGUAGGGAAUCUUCCGCAAUGGACGAAAGUCUGACGGAGCAAUGACGCGUGAGUGAAGAAGGUUUUCGGAUCGUAAAACUCUGUUGUAAGGGAAGAACAAGUACGUUAGUAACUGAACGUACCUUGACGGUACCUUACCAGAAAGCCACGGCUAACUACGUG